AACUUUCGGCAAUGGAUCACUUGGCUCUCGCAUCGAUUAAGAACGCAGCGAAAUGCGAUAAGUAAUGUGAAUUGCAGAAUUCAGUGAAUCAUCGAAUCUUUGAACGCACCUUGCGCCCUUUGGCUAUUUUGAAGGGCAUGCCUGUUUGAGCAUCAUAAACAUCUCAACUGUCACGGUCUCCUGUGAUGUGAUUCGCCUUUGGGGGUGUUGUUGGCUUGUGUUCAGCGCCCCUCCAAUCUAUCAGCUUCCCAGUGUUUGGCAGCAUCACAGGUGUGAUAAAUAUCUACGCUUGUGGUUCUUUGCCAGGUCUGUCCCCUCCUUGCAGAGGGCUCGCUGGAGCUCAUAGAUGUCUCUCCUUGGUGGAGACAGCUGUUUGAAGUUUGGUCUCAAAUCAGGUAGGAUUACCCGCUGAUGUUAAGCAUAUCAAUAAGCGGAGGCU
rnacentral:misc_RNA from 1 species